rnacentral:rRNA from 1 species
GACGAACGCUGGCGGCGUGCUUAACACAUGCAAGUCGAACGGUAAGGCCCUUCGGGGUACACGAGUGGCGAACGGGUGAGUAACACGUGGGUGAUCUGCCCUGCACUUCGGGAUAAGCCUGGGAAACUGGGCCUAAUACCGGAUAGGACCACUGCCUGCAUGGGUGGUGGUGGAAAGCUUUUGCGGUGUGGGAUGGGCCCGCGGCCUAUCAGCUUGUUGGUGGGGUGAUGGCCUACCAAGGCGACGACGGGUAGCCGGCCUGAGAGGGUGACCGGCCACACUGGGACUGGGAUACGGCCCAGACUCCUACGGGAGGCAGCAGUGGGGAAUAUUGCACAAUGGGCGCAAGCCUGAUGCAGCGACGCCGCGUGAGGGAUGACGGCCUUCGGGUUGUAAACCUCUUUCAGCACCGACGAAGCGCAAGUGACGGUAGGUGCAGAAGAAGGACCGGCCAACUACGUGCCAGCAGCCGCGGUAA